rnacentral:rRNA from 1 species
GCGAACGCUGGCGGCAGGCUUAACACAUGCAAGUCGAGCGCCCGUAGCAAUACGGGAGCGGCAGACGGGUGAGUAACACGUGGGAACAUGCCCUUUGGUUCGGAAUAACUCAGGGAAACUUGAGCUAAUACCGGAUAAGCCCUUACGGGGAAGAUUUAUCGCCAAAGGAUUGGCCCGCGUCUGAUUAGCUAGUUGGUGGGGUAAUGGCCCACCAAGGCUACGAUCAGUAGCUGUUCUGAGAGGAUGAUCAGCCACAUUGGGACUGAGACACGGCCCAAACUCCUACGGGAGGCAGCAGUGGGGAAUAUUGGACAAUGGGGGAAACCCUGAUCCAGCCAUGCCGCGUGAGUGAUGAAGGCCCUAGGGUUGUAAAGCUCUUUCGGUGGGAAGAUAAUGACGGUACCCACAGAAGAAGCCCCGGCUAACUUCGUGCCA